AUUAAAAUGGCGGACGCAUCGAGAGUGAAGAGUGGAGCUUCAUAAAACCAUUCAACAAUUGUCUUUUACAAGACAACCACAUAAAUAUUUUGAAAAACAACUACUGGAAGAUAUCUCCUGAUUCAGAUUUAUGAGCAAGAUAAUCAUGCUUCCAUGGUCAAAGUAGCUCUUCUGAGUGUGUUUCAUCAUCAACAUCAAUGCCAUGUGGGUCAACAUCACUGAAUGAAACUGCUUCAAUACGAAAGCUUACAAGUGAAGAUAUAGAUAGGAGAGGAUUUUGAUGGCGAGUAUGGUUAUCGAAUGAUUGAACUUUCAAACCUAGCAAGUGCAUUUCAGUCCUUGCAUGAUUGAGAAUUAGGCGGAGAGUUGAAAGUUACCGAUGAUGAGUCUCGUAGAUAUGGAAAUAGCACAGUCAUUGUUGAGUCAGAUAUUGCAGAGAUUGCUGUGAGUUAUGAUAGCACAUGGUCUAAGCGCGAGGGUUCACUGCAAACUUUGGAAUUGAUUUUGUUAUUUCGGUUGACACAGGGGCAAAUUGAAAAGAGUCAGGGUGAUAUUGUUGCAGACAAGGAUGUUAUCAUUCGUCGUUCAUGGUUGAAUGAUGUGAAACAUA